rnacentral:rRNA from 1 species
GACGAACGCUGGCGGCGUGGAUUAGGCAUGCAAGUCGGACGGUAGGGCUUUAUCGUAAGAUAGAGUUUGAGAGUGGCGAACGGGUGAGUAACACGUAGGAAUCUACCCUUAAGACGGGGACAACCCAGGGAAACUUGGGCUAAUACCGGAUGAGAGUGCGAGAGAUUGCAUUUAAAAGGAUGGCGAAAGUUAUCGCUUAGGGAUGAGCCUGCGGUCUAUUAGUUAGUUGGUGAGGUAAGAGCUCACCAAGGCGAUGAUAGAUAGGCGGCCUUAACGGGUGGUCGCCCACACUGGGAUUGAGAGACGGCCCAGACUCCUACGGGAGGCAGCAGUCGAGAAUAGUCUACAAUGGACGGAAGUCUGAUAGUGCGACGCCGCGUGAACGAAGAAUCCCUUCGGGGUGUAAAGUUCUUUUAUACGUGAGCAGUGCCCUUUAUAUGAAUAGUAUAGAGGGAGGGAUUUAAGCGUAUGAAUAAGCAACGGCUAAACUCCGUGCCAGCAGCCGCGGUAAACA